UACUUUUAGUUUCUCUUAUCCUCCUCCAUCAUAUAAAUUGGUUUUUGUUCACUAUUUUUCAAUUCUUGUUCUUACUUUGAACUUCUAUAUACUGCAAAAUCGAAGUGCAAAGAUUUUCAUAUAAGCUAUUAUACAUCUUGGUGUUCGGUUUGUUGUAAGUUAGUAUAUAAAAGCCAAGAAAAAAUCCAUUCAAUUCUAUUGUAUCUUGUAGGCUUAAAUGGAUCCGUGUAGACACAUUUGUAAGGAGCAAAUAAUUGUAGAGUCGUUGUUACAAGCCAUCGCAAAGGAAUAUCUUCACCAAUAAGGUAAACAAUAUUUGAUUCGACUUGAUAAUGACCUUUCUAUCUCUAAAUUGGUGCCGGCAAAAAGAACAUAAACUUGCACAAACAAUACAUUCAAAUAAAAAGAUAAACUUUAAAAUUUGUUUUGUGUAAAUUUUAAGCGAUUCGAGUUUAUAAGAAUAUUUUGAUCUUUGAUCCUCUGUAUAAAAAGUUAGAAGAAAAACGAAUAGAUCAAAAUUAAAAUAAUGAAUUGUUAAUAUUCAAAUUUUGUUACUUCAACUAAUAAUAAAUAUAAUAGAGUGAUGAAAGAAUAAUUCGUACAAGUGGCUUUAAAAUUAUUAAGAAAACAAAAUUAUGAUUGAUUUUAUAUUGCUCAUAUGUAGCCAGGCCUCCACGCCGAUAUUCUCCUUGGGAAAAAGAUGGGUCAAAUAAAGUAUUUGGUCUGAUACUUUGCCUUCUUUCAACAAAGCCCCUUUCUGUCUUUUCGUUUUGAAAAGUGAACUAAUCCAAUGUAUUUUGAGGGGAAAAUAUUUUUGGCUUUUUUCACAAAAGAGUAAAGAGUAAAAAUGGAAAGUUUUGCAUUUUGUUAUAUUAUCUUUUACCAAUUUCUCGGUGGGAUCGAUUGAUUAGUAAUUGUUUGG
rnacentral:lncRNA from 1 species